CUCUGGGAUGAUACUGCUUAGAUUAGACAGAGACAGAGUGGCUGUUUUUACUGUUGGAGUUUGGCUUUAAAAUGGCCUAGACCAAGUUCAAAUGGACCGAUCCAAAUGGAGAGCGUCGGUUGUCGCUAACAGGAGCUUCUUCUUAGGAUCGUCUGUUCUCCGCUCAAAUAUAGGUUUGUGUCGGAGACGGACUGUGGGCUUUUCUUUGUUCAAUUACACAUUUUUAUUGGGAUUUGAUUGGGAUUCAGUGUAGUCUCCUGUAAGGGCGGGAAAAGACAGACAUUUUAGAUUAGACAAAGUAACGCAUAUUGUAAUGACUGUAUUCAAACAUAGUCUGCAACAGGGCUGGAUAAUAUGGUUGAACUCAAUAUCACAUUCAUAUUAUUUUUCUGUAUAAUAUAUCAUAUGAUGAUAUGGCAACUGCAUGCAAAACCACAAAAUAUUUAAACCGAUGUUCAAUUAUGUGUCUGUCAGCACAUAGAACAAAAACUUCAAUAUUGCAUUUUGUGGCCCGAUAUAUACGAUAUAUGAUAGCGGAUAAUUUGUAAGAAGAUAAAACAAUAUGAUCAUCACAAUACGUUUCAUAUGAAUGCUGCCUUACUUAAAUAUAAAAAUAGUCUAGGUAGGUGUUUUGC